CCGGAGAUGGAUUCUGAGACACGAAUCCAGGCCCUACGGGGCGCAGCAGGCGCGAAAACUUUACAAUGCAGGCAACUGUGAUAAGGGAACCCCGAGUGCCCGUAUGGACGGGCUGUUCAGGUGCUUAAAAACCACCUGGAGAAAGGGCCGGGCAAGACCGGUGCCAGCCGCCGCGGUAAUACCGGCGGCUCGAGUGGUGGCCACUAUUACUGGGCUUAAAGCGUCCGUAGCUUGGUCGUUAAGCCUCUGGGGAAAUCUUCCGGCUUAACCGGAAGGCGUCUCAGGGGAACUGGCGACCUAGGGAUCGGGAGAGGUGAGAGGUACUCUGGGGGUAGGAGUGAAAUCCUGUAAUCCUCAGGGGACCACCUGUGGCGAAGGCGUCUCACCAGAACGACUCCGACAGUGAGGGACGAAAGCUGGGGGAGCAAACCGGAUUAGAUACCCGGGUAGUCCCAGCCGUAAACAAUGCGCGUUAGGUGAGUAUUGGGAAUUCCUGC
rnacentral:rRNA from 1 species